UACGUAGGGUGCGAGCGUUGCCCGGAUUUAUUGGGCGUAAAGGGCGCGUAGGCGGCUCUGCACGUCCGUUGUGAAAUCGCCCGGCUCAACUGGGCGGGGUCAGCGGAUACGGCGGAGCUUGAGCAAGCUAGGGGGCAAUGGAAUUCCCGGUGUAGUGGUGGAAUGCGUAGAUAUCAAGUGGAACACCAGUGGCGAAGGCGAGUCCCUGGACAUUUCCUGACACUGAGGCACGAAAGCGUGGGGGAGCGAACAGG
rnacentral:rRNA from 1 species